GACGAACGCUGGCGGCGUGCUUAACACAUGCAAGUCGAACGGAAAGGCCCUGCUUUUGUGGGGUGCUCGAGUGGCGAACGGGUGAGUAACACGUGAGUAACCUGCCCUUGACUUUGGGAUAACUUCAGGAAACUGGGGCUAAUACCGGAUAGGAGCUCCUGCUGCAUGGUGGGGUUGGAAAGUUUCGGCGGUUGGGGAUGGACUCGCGGCUUAUCAGCUUGUUGGUGGGGUAGUGGCUUACCAAGGCUUUGACGGGUAGCCGGCCUGAGAGGGUGACCGGCCACAUUGGGACUGAGAUACGGCCCAGACUCCUACGGGAGGCAGCAGUGGGGAAUAUUGCACAAUGGGCGGAAGCCUGACGCAGCAACGCCGCGUGCGGGAUGACGGCCUUCGGGUUGUAAACCGCUUUCGCCUGUGACGAAGCGUGAGUGACGGUAAUGGGUAAAGAAGCACCGGCUAACUACGU
rnacentral:rRNA from 1 species